rnacentral:tRNA from 1 species
GGGGUUGUGGCUCAGUGGUCCAGCACUCACCUAGCACGUGUGAGGCCCUGGGUUCAAUCCUUAGAACCACA